CCUACGGGCGGCUGCAGUGAGGAAUAUUGGGCAAUGCCCGAAAGGGUGACCCAGCAACGCCGCGUGGAGGAUGAAGUCCUUCUGGACGUAAACUCCUUUUAGAGGGGACGAAAAGCCCGAUUUGUCGGGAAUUGACGGUACCCUCAGAAAAAGCACCGGCUAACUACGUGCCAGCAGCCGCGGUAAUACGUAGGGUGCAAGCGUUGUCCGGAUUCACUGGGUGUAAAGGGUGCGCAGGCGGGCUCUUAAGUCAAAGGUAAAAUCUCUCGGCUAAACCGAGAAAUUGCCUUUGAUACUGAGGGGCUUGAGUACGGGAGAGGGAGAUGGAAUUCCAGGGGUAGGGGUGAAAUGCGUAGAUAUCUGGAGGAACACCGGGGGCGAGGGCGGUCUCCUGGCCCGUUACUGACGCUCAGGCACGAAAGCGGGGGGAGCAAACAGGAUAAGAUCCC
rnacentral:rRNA from 1 species